CAGAAAAUUAACAGCACUUCUCUCAGCUGCUUUCAGACAUGAAGCUUCAAUUAAGUGAAAGCAGCAGCUUCUCCUCUCUGACAGCACUGAUGACAUGAUGCCUCCAGGUGAUGCCAGGAAGAAAAAAGUUUUCUGCAGCUGAUAAUAACUUUGCUCAUUACCUGAACAGCAUUCGGGACAUGCAGCUAAAAAUCCCAAUUAAACUUCUCAAUAAAACCCCAAAAGUUCAGCAAACUUAAAAAGGUGGAGGAAUAUUUCAUCUUUUUGAACACAAAUGCAAUACAAAUGCAAUGCCCUGCAAAGUAUUCACACCCCUCGAGCUUCUGUAGACAUUUUGAUGUUACAACUGACAAAAUCAAUUUCAUUAGGACUUUACAGAACACAAAGCUGUACAUAAUUAUGAUGGCCUAGUUAAAUACAUGUCUUUCCAGAUAUUUUUAUUAAAAAAAUCUAAAGUGUUUUUGUAUUUAACUCCUUUUUAGCUGAUACGUUGCUUGUGGAGCCAGUUUUGCUGCAGUUGACCCUCCAUCCCAGACCCAAUGGUGUGAACUUUAACACAUUUUUUCAGGAUGUCCUGCUUUAUUUCUAUCCAUCUUUUCAUCAACAAUGACCAGCCACGAUGUGUCUCAUAUUACACCAAACAUAAUGUAACUGAUAAUCAUCAUUUUUCUUAUGGUUCACAGCUUCAGAUAUACAAUAUUUAGUAUGGUAAUAAUGACAUUUUAUUCAUACCACACGCUACAAAAUGACAAUAAAAGAAUUAACCAAGGUAAAAAAUAAAAAUAAAAACUCCUAAAAUAUCAGUAAUGUCUUAAGAACAAUGCUUUCAGUUCAUUUUGAUAAUCUGCUUCAACCAUCUCUAUAAAUCAUCUAAUGUUCUCUAGCACCAAUUCAAAAACACUAAAUUAAGUAUUUUUCUCUAGUUUAGUGUCAGUAGGCCUAUCUUAGAACAUUUGGAAAAAAAGUAAAUCAAUUUACAAGAAAAUGUUCAACAUAAUACAGGAACUUUUUUUGAGUCAAAGUUCCUUAAUAUUGGUUAAAAAAACAUAGUUUUCAUUGGCAGAUAUUGUUGUGGAGCGGGGGGUUCCUGGGUUUCUUUGUGGGUUUUGUUUUCUUUUGUUUACUCAACCUUCAGCCACUAGAUGGCGUCAGAUUCACCUUCUCUCUGGAGACUGGUGGAUUUUCCUCCACACCAGGUUUUCAUCAUCUCAUCAGGCCGAGAGUACAAGAGGAGAGGGCUGCCAGUACUUCGUCACCAGAGUGUUUGCCAGCAAUGGUGCUCCCUUUCGAGACGCCGUGGAUCUCCCAGUGACGAUCUAGUCUGGUUUCCCUUCCGGAUUCUUUCCCUCGUGACGCCGUGGACAGUACCCACUGCCCGAGUCCCGUCUGCAAAACCUCCCCGUUGGAUCUCAAGUCUUCCCUGGUUUGCCUCCGACUGGUAGCCGAAUGGCUCCCUUGUCACCGGCCUGCCCGAACUUACCUGCCCGCUCUCCACCGCUCCAUCACGGAACCACUCGAUUAUUAUCUGCCCAGAACCUGGAACUUGGACUCACAAAGAGAUAAAGAAACCCGAACCCAUGGACUACUCCUCCCGGACCGAAUAUUCUCACCCAUACAAAGCUUCGACCGCUCCAAGAGACUUUCCCCCUCUACCCGGACCAAUCCCAGCAGAUUACUCUCUCUGCCUGUGCGACACAGGAUGACCUCACCCACUCGACAUAUACUUGUCAAGCAGCUGCAGCCAAACGCAUCUCAUUACCGUAGCACCACUUGAUGUGUGCGGCGCAGCAGGUAUGGUGAAACAGGACUCCAGGUGAGCCUGACAUCUGUCAAACAUCUGUUUGACUGACCCGGUGCUACAUGCUUCCUGACGUCCGCUGUGAUCUAAUGCAGCUCUGCAAAUCCAGCAGAGGAGAAAACAGCUUAAUGUUGUGAGCUCGGCAUUUUUUAAAGGAAUCCUUCUUUAAAGUGGCAGUAUUAUGUAUUAUGUUACCUUCAUUUGUUAUAAAACUGCUCUAUGUAUCAAGAAAUUCAACUUUGUAAUUUGACACCUUGAAAUUGAGAAUCUGCAAAUCUCCAGGGAUUGUUGGAUGGCAAACAACCAGGGAGGGAGGGAUGGAUGGAUGGAUGGAUGGAUGCUGUCUACCAAGCAGGUCACCAUCUGCAUGCUUGACUUCGUUUGACCUUUGUUUGACCUCUGUUUGGCCUUGCAGCUGCUCUGUCCCGCCUGCAGCCAGAGCAGGCUCCUGUAUGGAACAGAGGACUUCCAUACAGACGCAGAAUGAUCUCGACAACAGGGAGAUAAAGAUGGGGCAGCAGAAAAAAACUCCGGAGCAUAAAACAGAAAAUGGAAAGAGGGGGAGGGAUAAAGAUGUUGGAGAGACAAAGAAAAGCUUUUCAAAGUGGUUGAAAGACAGUAGUGUCGGCUGCUCCAGUCCUUCAGGGAACAGAGAGGAGGAGAAGGGGUGGAGCAAGCCUACCGAGACUGCAAAUUGGUUAAUACCACUACUCAUCAUCAAGAGGGGGGGAAUGGGAUUUUCCUAUGUUGACUUCAGUUAGGUUUUUGUGUGUUCGUCCCUUUGUGUCUUCUAUGUGGCCUGAUCAGCCAGUAUUUAAGUUUCCCCUUUGUCUCAUUUAGGUAGGCCUGUUUGUUUGAGUCAGUAUGAGUUGAAUUGUUACUUUGACCUCUUUUAUGGGCCCAACCUUAUCAUUUUUCAUUAUUUUCCCAAGUUUUUGUUUUGGGUUAAAUAAAAAACAAUUAUUUUUGAAUUUAAA